AUUGCAGACUACAAUUUAGCCAAACGACACGUGAAAACGUUGUUUUCUUUUUAAACUUUUAGGAGUGCAAUUAAAUACCAGAAAUCAGAGAUAAAACCUACAAGGAAAUAGUUUUUGCACUUCUCAACCGACGUUCUACUAUUUUGGCAAUAAAAACACACACUUGAGCCGCCCGAGGAGGAACUCUAAAAAGGAAGGAAGGAAAAUAACACCUGGUAAUGAGCGGGGAGCAGCGUGAGGCACGCCCCAUCAUCAUCAGCCAAGAAAAAAAGGAACAUGACGGGCUGCAGCAACCGCCAGCACAGGACCGAGACGGCACAUCCGCAGCAACAACAACAACAACGUUGUCGUCUAUGUUGAGAAACUGCCUCUGGGCGGCACACAAUCCUCCAUGUAGGCCUCCUCUUCUUUCUUUCGUUCGUGAUAAGAAAUUGUGGGAUGUACCGCCGUCCUCUUGUGUAUUUUCUUCGGUCAUUCUCUUACAUAUCCAUUCCAUCCGGAAAUGGCGGCCAGUUGUGUUAGGGAGGGAGGCCAUAAGUUCCCGCGUCCGUCCUCCAUCUUCCGUGUCCCUUUUUUCUUCUUUUACGUAACUGGGAAUCACGCUCCUGGCUCAUCGUCCAGUUACUUCAACUUGGCGGUUUGAACGUUGCAGCUCUCUCACACACAC